GCCGCCCGAGGGUGGGGCUGCGGCCCAUCAUGGUAGUUGGCGGGGUAACGGCCCGCCAAGCCGACGACGGGUAGGGGCCGUGAGAGCGGGAGCCCCCAGAUGGGCCCUGAGACAAGGGCCCAGGCCCUACGGGGCGCACCAGGCGCGAAACCUCCGCAAUGCGGGAAACCGUGACGGGGUCACCCCGAGUGCCCCGAAGAGGGGCUGUUCCCCGCUGUAAAACGGCGGGGGAGUAAGCGGGGGGCAAGUCUGGUGUCAGCCGCCGCGGUAAUACCGAGCCCCGCGAGUGGUCGGGACGAUUAUUGGGCCUAAAGCGCCCGUAGCCGGCCCGACAAGUCCCCGCUGAAAUCCCCGGGCCCAACCCGGGGGCAGGCGGGGAUACUGUCGGGCUAGGGGGCGGGAGAGGCCGAGGGUACUCCCGGGGUAGGGG
rnacentral:rRNA from 1 species